UCAGAUUGUGCAAUAUGUCCUAAUCUUGUGCAGUUGGCUCCAGUGCUCUCCAUCAGAAACUUGAUGACCUCUAGACGCCCCUCUGAGGCAGCCACAUGAAGUGCAGUCCUUCCAUCAUAAUCAACAGCAUUCACAUCUGCUCCAGAGAGGAAAUACCUGCCGAGCUCACCUCAGACUCCACUUUCCACUGCCUGUAGGACAGCACUUGUCUGAAUGGAGUCCUGAUAUCGAAGCUGUGUAGCUGAAAAACUGACACCAGCUCCUGAAAAUAAGACUGGAGAUCAGCAUUGCACCUGCAGCUACUUCACAUAUCCUGCUAUAUCUCUAUUUGGAAAGUGGGGCUUUACCUCACAGAAAUGCACAGCCCUCCAGGAGUUUCCAUAUGCAUCCAACUCCGGUGACCAGCAAGCGAUGCCCAGCACUCCAGGGACUACUAUCAGUACAAUACCAGAGCUGCUGGA